rnacentral:misc_RNA from 1 species
AGCAGCCGCGGUAAUUCCAGCUCCAAUAGCGUAUAUUAAAGUUGUUGCAGUUAAAAGCUCGUAGUUGAAUUUCGGGACCAAUUUGUUGGUCGUGCCUCGGUACGUACUGGUAUUAUUGGUUUCUCCCAUCUGAAGAACCUCGAUGCCAUUAAUUUGGUGUCGUGGGGAAUCAGGACUGUUACUUUGAAAAAAUUAGAGUGUUUAAAGCAAGCAUACGCUUGAAUACAUUAGCAUGGAAUAAUGAAAUAGGACGUUUGAUUCUAUUUUGUUGGUUUCUAGGAUCGACGUAAUGAUUAAUAGGGAUAGUUGGGGGCAUUAGUAUUCAAUUGUCAGAGGUGAAAUUCUUGGAUUUAUUGAAGACUAACUACUGCGAAAGCAUUUGCCAAGGAUGUUUUCAUUAAUCAAGAACGAAAGUUAGGGGAUCGAAGACGAUCAGAUACCGUCGUAGUCUUAACCAUAAACUAUGCCGACUAGGGAUCGGAUGAUGUUAAUUUUUUUAAUGACUCAUUCGGCGCCUUAC